AGCUUAUGCCCAAACAAAUUUGUUAGUUUCUAAGGUGCCACAAGUACUCCUUUUCUUUUUGUUGAUACAGACUAACACAGCUACCACUCUGAAACCUGAUAACAGAGUGAACCUCACCUGAGAGAAAUCAGGCAAUUCCCGAUAAAGAGCAGAAGGUGACUGCAGUAAUAGACCAGAGCCAGGCUUAAGUGGUGAUAAAGCUCAGCUGGGAAAAGUUCUGGAAGGAGAGCUAGGCAGAAAGCUUAGGGAUUAAGGCCAGCUCUCCAGGUAGGCAGGACUGGGAGAGACCCUGAUUAAGCAGGGAAGAGAUGGAAUCACCAAGAGGAGACCUUAAAAGGCUGGAUAGGAAGUAGCCAAGAGAAAACUGCAGCUCAGCUCUGAGGCUUUACAAAAACACAAAUGACAGGAGAGCUGGCAACACUGUGACAGGAACCUUGUUUUUCGCAGUCUCCCUUUCUGUGGCUGGCUCUUUAUAUGUGUUGGAAUCAAGAAGCUGCAGCCUUAAGGGGGACAUUAUGGAAAUAACUGCACCUCUCUUCCAGCUGAGGCUCGCUAUUUUCUUCCAUUCCUGGAAAGCUGUGGUUUCUUUUAUGUUACAGCAGUGAGUUUCAAGCUGACAAAGUAUUGGAAGAUUUGAAUGAGCGAGAGCUGGAAGACUGAGAGAAAAAAUUUAAAUAUUUUAUUCACAAUAUAAAUCACUUCAGUUUAUCAUGAAGACCAGAUGACAACAAAUUGCCUCAAUCAAAGUCAGAGUGAGAGGAAGAUCCUGCCCUGUACUGUGCAGGAGCACUGGAAGAGGAAGCCAAUUCUCACCCUGCAUGAGCAGCAAAGCAGAAUCUCUCUCUAGCCCUCAGGAGAGUGCUAAGAGCAACCCCUGGUUCCCAUGUUGGCCUGUGCACCACAUAGUUAUGAUCAGUAUCUUCCCAUGUUAUGAAAAAUAUUUUUACAUAUGGCUGAACUGUACUGGACAUUCACAUGACUGGACUGUACAGGACAUUAAUGUUUUGAAGUAGACAACAUUCCAGAACCGCUACCAGUUUUUGUGCCAUUACAUUGAUGUUGUAUUCUGUAUCACAUUGUGUAAUUUGUACCUAGCUAAGAUUAUUUGCUCUGGCCAAUCUGUGUCAGGUAAUUGUUGACUCUUUCAAGAAUAUAUAGAUAGGUCUGUACAUUUGUCUCCUUCUUUCUCAUAUAAUUCCUAAUGGCCCCUCAGACUCUGGUCCUGGACUUCAUCUCAGAAACCACUAGCUCUUCAUCCUCCAUUGAUCCUGGCGUUAGGGAUUCCAAACUCUGCAAUAUUACUCGCUUAACAGCUUCCACUGUACAAUCUGUCACAUACAUCUUACUAAUAAGAGCUAUGACUGCAACUGGAAAGAGAGCUCCCAAGUCAGCUAUGUUUUAGUUGGAUAAUGUGUGUCUGAUUUAUAAGCCUGAGAAAAUGAGCAUAUAAUGGAAUAGAACUUUGUUCUCCUAUUUGGGAGCCUCUAGCUAACUGUUCUUAGUGUGACAGAUAGGGCAAUUUCCCACAAUAUCCUUGAAAAGAUUUAUUGAAUUAAGUUUAAGUAUCUUUGGAGUCCAUUGUAUUAAGUGCAAACUAUAUGUAUUAUUGUGGGAUUGUAUGUAACUUCUCUAGUGGGGAAACAUGGCCAAGGUAAAUCUUGGAAAGUAUUAUGAAUCUCAAAGGACUAUUUUAAACAAUAUGCCAGGCAAGAAGGAACUUUUGAGACAAGUAAAAUUGAGUGGGCUUCUUAGGCAGUAACUGGAGGAAGGUGAAUGCAAAUUACCACUUCCAAAUCCAACCUUUUGAAGCUGUGCCCUGAGGAGAAAACUAGUGUCUGCUGAUUACCAAUUCCCAGACUAUGAAGUUCGAAAGCUCAAACUGUAUAAAGAAAACACUGACCCUUUCAGGGUUGUUUUUGUUCUGAGACAACAUUGUUGUGAACUUGUAACCACAGAAACUCCUCUUGGUGGGGGCUAAAGGACGGAUUGCAUACCAUUUAUGCUGUGCAUAAGCUGUCAGGGAGAAAGCAAUCCAUAGACUCUAGCUGUUUAGGCUGUCUGGCUUGCUGGGAAUAACAUAGUUUAAGGAACUGUACAGCCUGGAAAAAAAUGGGUCAGGAGGUAGAGGGACCUGGGUGUCUACCCAAGAGAGGUGACAGCUGAGAAGUCAGAAACCUAGAGUGGAUGUCCUUAUUGGACUAUGAGGAUGAAAUACAGGUGCAGUUGCCCUGAACCAUAACACUCGGCACAUAAUUUAACUUCUUUUCGUUCCGGUCUUAGUAGCAUUAUCAACAACUAUUGGUUGCAAAUACCUUCCUACCACGGUGGUCUGUGAUCUUAUCAUGUCUUAUCCAGUAAGCAGUGUAUGGUCUGGUCAGUAUCUGGCUGGGAAACAUCUAUGGGAAUUUUAUUGCUCUGCAGGAAGUGGUGCUGCUGAUUUAGUGCAGUAGGUGGCAGUGUUCCUCUCUGAUUUAGUGCUGAACAGAGCUAGUAAAAAAACUGGGGGGGAAAUUAUUAAAAUUUUAAUAAAAAAACCUGUC